GUGGCUCAGGCACAUUAGAAUUCAUUCUGACAAGCCUUUAUAUAGCUCUUAUUUAAUCUUAAAGCAUCUCCACAUCAUUCUGCAUUACUCAAAAUCAUCUCCUCUAUGUCAAUGUCAUAACAGAAAACUUUCCCCCUAUUUUAAGAUCAUAUUAAAACCUACUAGAUAUACCUAUUAUUUCCCUCCACCCACAAUUAAAUCAGGUGCUGGCACCGCCAAGCUCGUCAGGGCGCUGCGGGGUUUGUGGAGCAGCGCUGCUGCUACUGCUGCUGCUGCUGCUGCUGCUGCUGCUGCUGCGCGGAGUGGCCGCCGGAUCGAGCGUGGAGGCAGAGCAGAGCUUGCACGUCGUCGUCGGUGGCUGGUGCUCCAGAGAAGCCAGCUGAUGACACAAAAGCCACCCUACGGCCUCGGAUGUAGGGGUGUGAGGUUCCCUAAAUCACUAAGAUGCCCUAGCUAGCCUCCAAACUGACUUGUCUUUUCCUAUUUGAAUGGGAAGAUCCCAGCAUAGGCUCAGGUAUGUUUUACUUUGGAUAUUUUCAAAAUACUUGGGUGAAACUGGGACGGUGCAAGAGACAAACCUAAGAAGAAAAACCAUGCUGCCAUCUUCCAAUAGGUCCUCAUUUAAAAGCAUAUGUGUUACACACACACGCACACCCACACACAAGCUACUGAGAACUUCAGUAUCAGAAUUCUCUUGCUGGUUUUCCUAAUUUAGAAUUAUUACAGAGCUACUUUCCUGGUGCUGACGUAUUUGUCCCAGAUAACUCUGCUGAUACAUAUCAUGGAUGCUUCAUGAGUAAAAGAAAGUAAAUUAGGAUCUUGGCAUGUUAUCAUGUUGUGUUUCUCAAUAUAUAAACAACAGGUAGCUUGGACAAAUUGUUAUGCAUUUGUGUUAAGAGGUUACUUUUGUUUUUGCCUGUUGUGUACAAGAGACUUUUUUGAAAGUAGUGGUUCCCAAGUUUGGCAGCAUAUUCUCAUCACAUGAAGAGUGUUAAAAACUCCUGAUGCUCAUAUUGAAGAUUGGGGUUUAAUUGGCCUGGGCUUUGGACUAAUUAAAAGAAAUCUCCAGGUGAUUUUAAUGUGAAGACAAGAUGAGGAAACCACUGCUUUUAAGAUUUAUACUUUUCUCAAAUAAGCCAAGACUGUCCUUUAAAAAAAAGCAACCUUUCAUACACUGGCUCUGCAUUACUGGGAGGGCUUUAUGCUGUUUUUUUAAAUGAAGAUAAGAGGAGUUAACCUUUUUAUUUUUUAACUCUCAAAGCCAGUGAGUGCCUUUGGGUUUUUCAGUCCGCCUCCCCCAUCUCUCGCCAUCUUUUCGCAGGCCUCAUGGAGAACACAUUUUCUUUGAUGAGUCCCAAGCCCUGUCUUCCAGUUAUGCCCCAUAUUAAAACAAAGAUCCCUACUCAAACACUCGUGCAGAAUAUCUCCCAGUCCUUUUUUUUCUUGUUGUUAAUCUUCCCCUUUCAUCUGCUUUAUAAGUAAUUCAGAUGUCAUUCAAAAUACCUGUUUUUUUUUCCCCCUACUGAAAAACAAAAGAACAAUACAAUUAGAGCAACAUCGAUUUCUUGGAAUGACUCCUGUUACCUAUAUUCUGCAAGUUGCUGAUUUAGGUAAGAGGUAGAAAUCAAAUUGAACUGAAAUAGGAUCUUUCAUUCUUGGGUCUCUGCAAAAACUUUAGGUACAUUUGGCUUACUGUGAAAUUUAAUUUGGGAUCAAGCUGGCAAAGGAAAAGGAGACAUGCUGAAGGGUUUUGUUCCAUCCACCAUGAGGUACAUAUUGAAGGGAGCAUUCCAGAGUCCAGUGGAUCUAGUGUGUUUCAGUCAGUGCUUCUGGCCCUUUCAGAUCUCUGAGUCUCGCUUCUGGUGCCCCUCAGUAGCGUGGAAAGAACAAAAUGAAACAAGUACCCGGAGAUUGAUUGUACACUGCAUCUUAUUAUGAAACCAAAUAGAAAAAGAAAGGGAUUUCAAAAUAUAAUCCCCCUUUCCCAGGAGUAUUUGUCUUGUUCUCCAUGAAGUUAAAGGUCUGAAAUAAUGUGCCCAUCAGGGGCUCAAUGUUGCAUGUCCAUGCCAGUUGGUCCAAGGGCUUGUUAUGAUGGUAAUGACCUACUGAAACGUGAGCUUGGAUUGCAACAAUACAAUUGCUACCAGCUCACCCGCUGGGAGAAAUAUUUUAUUAUUGUCAAAUGUCCUCCAUAGAGAUUUGUUUUGCCUGUUCCUGUUUAAAUUAAAUUCAAAGCAGAACUGUAUUACUAUUUCUCUGGAGUAUAUUUGAGAUAAACAACUAGUCUCAAAAUUUAGGAUUCCUGGCUAGUUCAAAUUUGUUUAUUAGCAGAAAAAUUACAAUAGGUGACACCAUAGCUGCAGGAAUAUUAUGAUUGCAGCCACACAAGAGAUUUACAUACUGAGUCCAUGGGCUAAAAGCGAGAGAACUCCCUUUUUCAUUACAGAUGCCAGCCAGAUUAAUAAUUAACUAUUCCAUCAGUUGUACGACCUUAAAAAAAAAAAAGAUGUCCCAAUAUACAAAUGCAUUGCUUUAACAUGCCACAGAAUUUUGGCCAUGAGAAAAUUUGCUCCAAGUAAGAAGUGGUUUUAAACUUAAGAUCAUAAAUCGAAUUGUUGUGUAAGUGUGUGUGUGUAAAAAUAUUUUUAAACGCAAUAUAGGUGACAUGGCACUGAAGCCCCAAGUGUGAGUGAAAAUGCCCUUUGAGCAUAAUAUACUUUUUUCAAUAUUAUUUUUUUAAAAGAAUUGUAAAGAAUAUCCUAGAAUAUAUGGAAUUAUUUGCAUCAUUUUGCCCAAGGCCCUAUAAUGCAGCCUUGCCAAAGGCUUUUAAAGCAGUGAAGCUUUUAAUCAAUACAAAUUUUGUUACGGACAGUCAAAUUAGAACUGGAUCUUAGUCUACAAAAAAAAAAAGCCUGUCCUGCUUUGUCAAAAUCAGAGUAGCCUGUGUAUUUCAUAAUAGACAACUUUGAAGAGCCAGUUUUGAGAAACGCAAACUGUUGGGAGGGGAGGGUUGCUAAAAGGGCCUAACAGGAAAACAUUUCAAACUAGUAGGAAAGCAUUAAAUCACACUAUUCACACUCCAAUUCAAUCUGCCAUGCUCAGGCGAAUUUCACACUUUUGUUGGGAAGUGCGGAACAGGCUGCUAUUAAAACAACAACAACAACAACAAAAACCCCCACAAAAAAUGAAAGUCACAAGAGCAAUUUCCAACAUGAGACUUAGAACUAUGCAAGUGCUGACUUUUUCUCCUCUUUAAAUUAUGUGAUUUCAUAUGAUUACAAAUAAAAUAUACUAAACAUGAAUGUCUUUAAAAAAU
ensembl:lncRNA